rnacentral:rRNA from 1 species
AACGAACGCUGGCGGCAUGCCUAACACAUGCAAGUCGAACGAGACCUUCGGGUCUAGUGGCGCACGGGUGCGUAACGCGUGGGAACCUGCCCUUAGGUUCGGAAUAACUCCCCGAAAGGGGUGCUAAUACCGGAUAAUGUCUUCGGACCAAAGAUUUAUCGCCUUUGGAUGGGCCCGCGUUGGAUUAGCUAGUUGGUAGGGUAAAAGCCUACCAAGGCGACGAUCCAUAGCUGGUCUGAGAGGAUGAUCAGCCACACUGGGACUGAGACACGGCCCAGACUCCUACGGGAGGCAGCAGUGGGGAAUAUUGGACAAUGGGCGAAAGGCUGAUCCAGCAAUGCCGCGUGAGUGAUGAAGGACUUAGGGUUGUAAAGCUCUUUUACACGGGAUGAUAAUGACAGUACCGGGAGAAUAAGCGCCGGCUAACUCCGUG